UACGUAGGGCGCAAGCGUUAUCCGGAAUUAUUGGGCGUAAAGAGCUCGUAGGCGGCUUGUCGCGUCGAAUGUGAAAAACUCGGGGCUCAACUCCGAGCUUGCAUUCGAUACGGGCAGGCUAGAGUUCGGUAGGGGGAGACUGGAAUUCCUGGUGUAGCGGUGAAAAUGCGCAGAUAUCAGGAGGAACACCGGUGGCGAAGGCGGGGUCUCUGGGGCCGAUACUGACGCUGAGGAGCGAAAAGCGUGGGGGAGCGAA
rnacentral:rRNA from 1 species